rnacentral:lncRNA from 1 species
CUCAAAAGGAAAGCCCAAGUACAAGACAUACCGGGAGUACAAGCGCUUGACCAUAGGAAGAAGGAAGAGGACGCUGCUCUGACAUAAGCGAUUGGAAGAUCUGAUCUUUCUCUGAAGACUGGUCCGAUUGAUACAAAAAAGAAGUAGAGGUUAUGAAAGAAAUCAUUGUCUUGUCAGCUUCAUAUUCUUAUUUAUUUUAUUUUAAUAAGAUGAUUGGGCCCUACAGUGGUAUAACCGGUGAACCU